rnacentral:rRNA from 1 species
UACGUAGGGUGCGAGCGUUAAUCGGAAUUACUGGGCGUAAAGUGUGCGCAGGCGGCCGCGCAAGUCGAGUGUGAAAGCCCCGAGCUUAACUUGGGAAUUGCGCUCGAAACUACGUGGCUGGAGUGUGGCAGAGGAAGGUGGAAUUCCAGGUGUAGCGGUGAAAUGCGUAGAGAUCUGGAGGAACACCGAUGGCGAAGGCAGCCUUCUGGGCCAACACUGACGCUCAUGCACGAAAGCGUGGUGAGCAAACAGG